CAGGUAUUUUGGGAUGUCACAAAUUUUUCUAAUCUAAUUUAGAGUCAUCAUUAUUUAUCUACACUAGUUGUAUUGCUAUCAUGAAAUUUCCAUGUGUAUGUGAUGAUGUGGUCAUUAAUAUGGCUACGAAUGAAGCAGCUUAUGCAAGCUUUAGCCAUUGAAUUCAACCUUAAGGAGCCAACUAGGUCUAGGGGUUAAAUUUAUUAUCAACCUCAAGGAACCCACCCAUUAUUUUAGUUGCAAGGUAUUUUCAUUUGUGAAGAGCAUCAAUAUGUUGCCUCCAUUGCGAAUGGCUACAAAAAUUACUGUUUAAUCUUCAUAUCGAGCUUUUAAACCCUCCCAUCAUUUACUAUGAUAAUCAUGGUGUCAUAUACGUCAUCUAUUAUCAU
rnacentral:lncRNA from 1 species